UGUAGGGAGGUGGGGACACUGGGGCAGCGAGGCCCAUGGAGGGAGACGACGCAGAGCCACAUGUUUUUUCCGCCUCUUUGGCCGCACUGCUCGUCGAUGGAAACUGGAAAUGGUGGGGAAAAUUCAUGGCCACAACGAGUGUUCUUGACUCUUGAGCAACAAGGAGGCUCUCCGACGAACGGGAAGGGACGAUAUUGAAUCAGAUCAGGAAAAAUCUCAGUACAAUUGGGAUGCUCUAUGCUAUUGGUCCGGCGAUUUGGAGACAUACAGUUUGCAAAACCCUUUGUGACACAAUGGCAUGCCAAACUCUUUUAGCUGAACAAAUUGUACACUAGACUAUGCCAGGAUUAUGCACUUUUAAAGUGUGUAUAUAAACACACUUAGAGAGUUGCUCAAAUAAAAACCUAAGGUUUCGUUUGGAGACUCCACACUUAGAGACUUGCUGUAAACACUUACCCAAACCUUAUGUAGUAUUCUCCAAACCUUUGGUAUUCUCCACUAGAUCAUAAGGUAUUGACAACAAAAUUAGUUCAUUUUCCAACCUCAAUCCAUGUGGACUUGUGGAGGAUACCUAAGGUUUAGGCUUGUCACUCCACCAUAUAAAAUCCAU
rnacentral:lncRNA from 1 species